rnacentral:SRP_RNA from 1 species
GCUUGUCCUUAGUCCUAGCUAGUUGGGAGGCUGAGGUGUGAGAAUCACUUGAGCCCAGUAGUUACAGGCUGUAGCGUACUAUGUAGUGUACUAUCAGGUGUUCACAGUAAGUUCAGCAUGAGUAUGGUGAUCUCCUGGGAGUGGGGAGCUACCAGGCUGCCUAGGAGGGGCAAACCAGCCCAGGUGAGAAAUAGAGCAAGUCAAAACAUCUGUGCAAAUCAGUAGUGGGAUUGUGCCUGUGAAUAACCACAUAGUGAGACCUUAUCUCA